CAGUAGUCUAGCACAUUCAAUUGCAACAUUGUUGCACAGUUACAUUAAACCAUACAUUUAUAAAAACAUUAGCAGGUGUUCAAAAGGCCCUGUCUAUGACAUCACUUGCUGCUGCAGCUUGACACAGGUCAGAAUAUUUUGGUGGUUGCAAUCUUCAAACGGUCGUAUCUUAAAAACUAUAACUCCUACAGUGAAGAGCUUUAUAUUGUGAGAAUCACAAGACCCAGACCUACGUUUUGAUGCAUAGUAUGUCUCUGAAGUAUUAAAAUUGAAGGCACAGUCGCAGUUUAGAAAUUGCACUUCAAAUUUGAGCUUUGCAGAGUGAAGUUUCAAUGAAAGUCAAUGGACGGCGUUAGUUGCAAACAAAUGGUCAUAUUGUGAAAACUAUCAGGACUACGGCUUAGCCGUUGACAUGUUUAGUGGCAGCAGGGAUAGCUGAACGUUUUGAUAUAAGAUUUGUGUAGGUGGGCCUGAAAAUAAGGGAGUGGUGGCAGUUUAGAAAUCAUGUCCUGAUUUUUCAGCUUUUGCCAGCUCCCA